rnacentral:rRNA from 1 species
AUUGAACGCUGGCGGCAUGCUUUACACAUGCAAGUCGAACGGCAGCGCGGGCUUCGGCCUGGCGGCGAGUGGCGAACGGGUGAGUAAUACAUCGGAACGUGCCCAGUAGUGGGGGAUAGCUCGGCGAAAGCCGGAUUAAUACCGCAUACGACCUGAGGGUGAAGGCGGGGGAUCUUCGGACCUCGCGCUUUUGGAGCGGCCGAUGGCAGAUUAGCUAGUUGGUGGGGUAAAGGCCUACCAAGGCGACGAUCUGUAGCUGGUCUGAGAGGACGACCAGCCGCACUGGGACUGAGACACGGCCCAGACUCCUACGGGAGGCAGCAGUGGGGAAUUUUGGACAAUGGGCGAAAGCCUGAUCCAGCAAUGCCGCGUGUGUGAUGAAGGCCUUCGGGUUGUAAAGCACUUUUGGCGGGAACGAAAAGGACUGUGCCAAUACCACGGUUCGAUGACGGUACCCGCAGAAUAAGCACCGGCUAACUACGUG